UACGUAGGUGGCAAACGUUGUCCGAAAUUACUGGGCGUAAAGGGCGAGCAGGCGGGCUGAUAAGUCGGAUGUGAAAUCCUACGGCUCAACCGUAGAACUGCAUUCGAUACUGUCAGUCUUGAGUACUGGAGAGGAAAGCGGAACUCAUGGUGUAGCGGUAAAAUGCGUAGAUAUCAUGAGGAACACCGGUGGCGAAGGCGGCUUUCUGGCCAGAUACUGACGCUGAUCCGCGAAAGCCAGGGGAGCGAACGGGAUUAGAUACCCGCGUA
rnacentral:rRNA from 1 species